CUGUACGCCGCCCCUGUUCAGAUUUUUUUCAGCGCCCUUAUCUCCUACGCGCGUGCUCAUCGAUCCAUUUCAGCUGCCGCGCGUCCCUGCGGUCUUCCAGCUCCAGCGUCGGCUGCUCCUCCCUGGCCACCCGCGCCCCUUGCUUCUCCCUUCUCACGCUCCCCGUCGAGCUCCCUGGUCGCCGCGCAGUCGAGCUCCCUCAGCUCGCUCCUCCUGUGCCGCGCGCCAGCCCCUGGUUCGGCUCUACUCCUCCCUGCUUGCCGUUCCUAUCCCCCUGCCAUGGAGUCCGUCGUCAGUCCGAGCUCGCCCAUCCUCUGCUCGGUUUCAACUUGGUCGUGCCUGCAGCUUCUCCCAUAG
rnacentral:misc_RNA from 1 species